CAUAGGGAAUCUUAGACAAUGGGGGCAACCCUGAUCUAGCCAUGCCGCGUGUGUGAUGAAGGCCCUAGGGUCGUAAAGCACUUUCGCCAGAGAUGAUAAUGACAGUAUCUGGUAAAGAAACCCCGGCUAACUCCGUGCCAGCAGCCGCGGUAAUACGGAGGGGGUUAGCGUUGUUCGGAAUUACUGGGCGUAAAGCGCACGUAGGCGGAUUAGUAAGUUAGAGGUGAAAUCCCAGGGCUCAACCCUGGAACUGCCUUUAAUACUGCUAGUCUUGAGUUCGAGAGAGGUAAGUGGAAUUCCGAGUGUAGAGGUGAAAUUCGUAGAUAUUCGGAGGAACACCAGUGGCGAAGGCGGCUUACUGGCUCGAUACUGACGCUGAGGUGCGAAAGUGUGGGGAGCAAACAGGAUUAGAUACCCUGGUAGUCCACACCGUAAACGAUGAAUGCCAGACGUCAGCAAGUAUACUUGUUGGUGUCACACCUAACGGAUUAAGCAUUCCGCCUGGGGAGUACGGUCGCAAGAUUAAAA
rnacentral:rRNA from 1 species